UACGGGGGGGGCAAGCGUUGUUCGGAAUUACUGGGCGUAAAGGGCUCGUAGGCGGCUAUUUAAGUCAGACGUGAAAUCCCUCGGCUUAACCGGGGAACGGCGUCUGAUACUGGACGGCUUGAGUUCGGGAGAGGGAUGCGGAAUUCCAGGUGUAGCGGUGAAAUGCGUAGAUAUCUGGAGGAACACCGGUGGCGAAGGCGGCAUCCUGGACCGACACUGACGCUCAUGCACGAAAGCGUGGGGAGCAAACAGG
rnacentral:rRNA from 1 species